AGUGAACGCUGGCGGUAGGCCUAACACAUGCAAGUCGAACGGCAGCACAGUAAGAGCUUGCUCUUACGGGUGGCGAGUGGCGGACGGGUGAGGAAUACAUCGGAAUCUACUUUUUCGUGGGGCUUAAGGAAGGGAACUUAAACUAAUUACGCAUACGACCUACGGGUGGAAGGAGGGGGACUUCUUACCCUUCUGGGGUUGAUUAGGCGGUGUCGGAUUAGCUAGGUGGCGGGGUAAAGGCCCACCAAGGCGACGAUUCGUAGCUGGGGUUAGAGGAUGAUCAGCCACACUGGAACUGAGACACGGUCCAGACUCCUACGGGAGGCAGCAGUGGGGAAUAUUGGACAAUGGGCGCAAGCCUGAUCCAGCCAUACCGCGUGGGUGAAGAAGGCCUCCGGGUUGUAAAGCCCUUUUGUUGGGAAAGAAAAGCAGCAGGUUAAUACCCCGCUGUUCUGACGGUACCCAAAGAAUAAGCACCGGCUAACUUCGUG
rnacentral:rRNA from 1 species